rnacentral:lncRNA from 1 species
GCAGGGCCCGGCAGUGCUCUGAGCAGGGGAGCAGCGGGAGCGCGGGCCUGACGUCGGGCGGCGAGCAUUUACCCACCCGGAGGGGCGGCCGCGCCUGGGCCGUGCCCGCCGGGAGAGCAGUGCCAGGCGGCCACGGAGGAGCCGCUGUCUGGCUGCGUGGGGGCCGGGCAGCUCGGGCAGUCCGGAGCCCGCCCCAGCGCAGGUUCUCUGCGACCAGGAGCAGGCGAGAGGGCCCUGCCGGUCCCCGCUGAUUCCCCGGGGCUGCUCCUCCCCGUCUCUUCCCAGGACGGGCGGUCCUCGCCUCUGGGGAUGCCCAUGCCUGAGGUCAGCUCAGGCCGCAGUCGGCCGGGUGCGAGGCAGCCCUGGCCCGCUCCUUCCGCCCGGCCAGCGGACCGGUCCUCAGGGCUGUGGAGCACGGAGCGCGCUUGGUAAGAAAAUUAACACCAAGCACUGGGAUGGGCCACGAGCUUCGGGAACUGAACCCGCGGCCUCCUUAGCGCGGCCACGAAUUUCCCUGCUCGGCCUCAACCGCGCCCAGCUCAGCCGCGCAGCCGCUGCUUCUCUCAGAUCAGGGAAAUCACCUGGACAGUCUGCACCGAGCACCGGAGCGCGCAGCGUCCGGGAAAGCCGCAGUUUAACCUUCGCGUCUUCGUUGUCUGGGGGCGCAGAGGCCCAAGGCCUCCUGCCUCCCGCAGGGCCACACACAGCACCCCGUUUCCAGCACAUGCGCCAGACUCCGAGAGGACGCCUGUCCCCGUGGACGCUGCCUCUUCUUGUUCUCUGAGGCCUGGAUGCAGAUCAGAAUUCUACCCAUGGCCAUGAAGACGGACUGAGAGGAGGGGAGGAGAGAGAGGUGGCUCCCAGGGCAGGCGAAAGAGAAGAAAAGAAGAAGAAGAAGAAGAAGA